rnacentral:rRNA from 1 species
AUUGAACGCUGGCGGCAUGCUUUACACAUGCAAGUCGAACGGUAACAGGCCGCAAGGUGCUGACGAGUGGCGAACGGGUGAGUAAUGCAUCGGAACGUGCCCAGUCGUGGGGGAUAACUACUCGAAAGAGUAGCUAAUACCGCAUACGAUCUAUGGAUGAAAGCGGGGGACCGUAAGGCCUCGCGCGAUUGGAGCGGCCGAUGUCAGAUUAGGUAGUUGGUGGGGUAAAGGCUCACCAAGCCAACGAUCUGUAGCUGGUCUGAGAGGACAACCAGCCACACUGGGACUGAGACACGGCCCAGACUCCUACGGGAGGCAGCAGUGGGGAAUUUUGGACAAAGGGCGCAGGCCUGAUCCAGCAAUGCCGCGUGCAGGAAGAAGGCCUUCGGGUUGUAAACUGCUUUUGUACGGAACGAAACGGCUCUGGUUAAUACCCGGGGCUAAUGACGGUACCGUAAGAAUAAGCACCGGCUAACUACGUG